rnacentral:rRNA from 1 species
GGCAGACGGGUGAGUAACAUGUGGGUAUCUGCCCUUUGGCCUGGAAUAACACGAGGAAACUUGUGCUAAUACCGGAUAAGUCUUUACGGAGAAAGCUUUAUGCACCAUUGGAUGAGCCCGCACUUGAUUAGUUUGUUGGUGGGGUAAUGGCCUACCAAGACUGUGAUCAAUAGCUGAUUUGAGAGGAUGAUCAGCCACAUUGGGACUGAGACACGGCCCAAACUCCUACGGGAGGCAGCAGUGGGGAAUCUUGCACAAUGGAGGAAACUCUGAUGCAGCGAUGCCGCGUGAGUGAAGAAGGCCCUUGGGUUGUAAAGCUCUUUCGUCGGGGAAGAAAAUGACUGUACCCGAAUAAGAAGGUCCGGCUAACUUCGUGCCAGCAGCCGCGGUAAUACGAAGGGACCUAGCGUAGUUCGGAAUUACUGGGCUUAAAGAGUUCGUAGGUGGUUGAAAAAGUUAGUGGUGAAAUCCCAGAGCUUAACUCUGGAACUGCCAUUAAAACUUUUCAGCUAGAGUAUGAUAGAGGAAAGCAGAAUUUCUAGUGUAGAGGUGAAAUUCGUAGAUAUUAGAAAGAAUACCAAUUGCGAAGGCAGCUUUCUGGAUCAUUACUGACACUGAGGAACGAAAGCAUGGGUAGCGAAGAGGAUUAGAUACCCUCGUAGUCCAUGCCGU